rnacentral:snRNA from 1 species
AAGGGGGUGUAUUAGGUAGUAUCAUAACCAAUGAAGUUAAUCUGAGGUGUGAUUAUUGCUAGUUGAAAUCUUUUCUGGCUAAUUCCUCCCCUCCCCCCAUCCCUACCCACCUCCCUAACCCAGUGCAGGAAUAAUAUUCAUUUGUUUAUAUGCUGAAACA